rnacentral:lncRNA from 1 species
CUGGGGCAGAGCUCAAGAGUUGAAAGUCCACAGCUUGGGGUGAAAAGGUUGAAUGUAGGAAUUCGACUACAGACAGACACUAGUUAAGUAUUGUAGGGAUAUAUAGCGUACUAGAGACUGAGCUCAUAAGUACUUUGCUACACUGAAUGGUUGUGAAUCAUUUAUUUCUGAAUUUGCCAUUGUAUCAUCUAGACAAAUAUUUAAUAAUCUCUCUAGCAAAUGCUAAAAUGGGAGUGCAUUUUGGCAGAGUCGCUAUCAAAACUCGGCUGUCUUUUGGGGGCAAACAGAGGAAUCAAAAUAAGGAUUUAUCUCCACUUUGACAAAGGGAAGAGAAUAAGCCCACUUUUGACAAAUCAACAUGUGCAAAGUCCACAUUUUGAACCACGAGGCAAAAAUUAGUAUGAGAUGCUAGUAUUAUCUUAAUUGCGGAAGAGUCAGAUACUCACUCAUAGUACCUCUAUUACUGAGUCUCAGAUUUAUAAGAGGCAGGGUAUGUGUGGAUUGUGCUUCUAUGAACAACUAAAUUAUCUGUUUAAUCCAAUGCAAGCAAAGUGAUGGGAAUUUUUCCAAUGCUAUUAUUGAUUUUCUUCUUCAUGCUACAGUAUUAAGGCUUACGAUUCUAAGGUGCUGCACAACGGUGGGGCAAAACACAGGUUUUAUAAACCCUAUUAGUGCUGAGCAUACUGUGCAUUGGGAAGACAAUGAAAAACAAAAAUGGAGGUCCUGUGUUUUGAAGAUAUUAAUGGAUGCACAGGCAGGUUCAU